AACGAACGCUGGCGGCAUGCCUUACACAUGCAAGUCGAACGGUAACAGGUCUUCGGAUGCUGACGAGUGGCGAACGGGUGAGUAAUACAUCGGAACGUGCCUAGUAGUGGGGGAUAACUACUCGAAAGAGUGGCUAAUACCGCAUGAGAUCUACGGAUGAAAGCAGGGGAUCGCAAGACCUUGUGCUACUAGAGCGGCCGAUGGCAGAUUAGGUAGUUGGUGGGAUAAAAGCUUACCAAGCCGACGAUCUGUAGCUGGUCUGAGAGGACGAUCAGCCGCACUGGGACUGAGACACGGCCCAGACUCCUACGGGAGGCAGCAGUGGGGAAUUUUGGACAAUGGGCGAAAGCCUGAUCCAGCAAUGCCGCGUGCAGGAUGAAGGCCUUUGGGUUGUAAACUGCUUUUGUACGGAACGAAAAGCCCUGGGUUAAUACCCUGGGGUCAUGACGGUACCGUAAGAAUAAGCACCGGCUAACUACGUGCCAGCCGCCGCCGUAACAC
rnacentral:rRNA from 1 species